rnacentral:rRNA from 1 species
GACGAACGCUGGCGGCAUGCCUAAUACAUGCAAGUCGAGCGAACAGAUGAAGUGCUUGCACUUCUGACGUUAGCGGCGAACGGGUGAGUAACACGUAAGGAAUCUACCUAUAAGCGGGGGAUAACAUUCGGAAACGGGUGCUAAUACCGCAUAAUAUCUUCUUCCGCAUGGAAGAAGAUUGAAAGACGGCUCUGCUGUCACUUAUAGAUGACCUUGCGGUGCAUUAGUUAGUUGGUGGGGUAAUGGCCUACCAAGACGAUGAUGCAUAGCCGACCUGAGAGGGUGAUCGGCCACAUUGGGACUGAGACACGGCCCAAACUCCUACGUGAGGCAGCAGUAGGGAAUCUUCCGCAAUGGGCGAAAGCCUGACGGAGCAAUGCCGCGUGAGUGAAGAAGGCCUUCGGGUCGUAAAACUCUGUUAUAAGAGAAGAACAAAUUGUAGAGUAACUGCUACAGUCUUGACGGUAUCUUAUCAGAAAGCCACGGUUAACUACGUGCCAGCCGCCGCUGUAA